rnacentral:ncRNA from 1 species
AGAGUAGGGGAGCUUGUAGUGCAGGCUGAGAAAAAGUAAUCAAACUUUGACCCUUAAACCUGAUUUGGAUAAUGCCAACGUAGGAAAAGU